UACGGGGGGGGCAAGCGUUGUUCGGAAUUACUGGGCGUAAAGGGCUCGUAGGCGGCCAACUAAGUCAGACGUGAAAUCCCUCGGCUUAACCGGGGAACUGCAUCUGAUACUGGAUGGCUUGAGUUCGGGAGAGGGAUGUGGAAUUCCAGGUGUAGCGGUGAAAUGCGUAGAUAUCUGGAGGAACACCGGUGGCGAAGGCGGCAUCCUGGACCGACAUUGACGCUGAGUGAGCGAAAGCCAGGGGAGCAAACGGG
rnacentral:rRNA from 1 species